rnacentral:rRNA from 1 species
CAGUCGCGCGGUAAAACGAAGGGUGCAAGCGUUACUCGGAAUUACUGGGCGUAAAGCGUGCGUAGGUGGUGGUUUAAGUCCGUUGUGAAAGCCCUGGGCUCAACCUGGGAAUUGCAGUGGAUACUGGGUCACUAGAGUGUGGUAGAGGAUAGUGGAAUUUCCGGUGUAGCAGUGAAAUGCGUAGAGAUCGGAAGGAACAUCUGUGGCGAAGGCGACUAUCUGGGCCAACACUGACACUGAGGCACGAAAGCGUGGGGAGCAAACAGGAUUAGAUACCCCCGUAGUCCCUGUCUCUUAUACC